UGGGGAAUUUUGGACAAUGGGGGAAACCCUGAUCCAGCCAUCCCGCGUGUGCGAUGAAGGCCUUCGGGUUGUAAAGCACUUUUGGCAGGAAAGAAACGUCAUGGGUUAAUACCCCGUGAAACUGACGGUACCUGCAGAAUAAGCACCGGCUAACUACGUGCCAGCAGCCGCGGUAAUACGUAGGGUGCAAGCGUUAAUCGGAAUUACUGGGCGUAAAGCGUGCGCAGGCGGUUCGGAAAGAAAGAUGUGAAAUCCCAGGGCUCAACUUUGGAACUGCAUUAUUAACUACCGGGCUAGAGGGUGUCAGAGGGAGGUGGAAUUCCGCGUGUAGCAGUGAAAUGCGUAGAUAUGCGGAGGAACACCGAUGGCGAAGGCAGCCUCCUGGGAUAACACUGACGCUCAUGCAAGAAAGCGUGGGGAGCAAACAGG
rnacentral:rRNA from 1 species